UAUUCCGAGCUUUUAAAAAAUUAUCACUUUCUUUCAGAGCUCUAUGAAUCUGCAGAAGCAGAAAGAAUGGAACUGAAAAGUUGGAAAGCAAAUUAGAACUGUUUUGGAAAGUCAGCCACCUGCAGAAGAGAUCACAAGACGAUACAGGAAGCCAGAGAGACUCAGGGGCCAGAGUCACUCUUUUUUAUGACAAUCUGCUCUUGUAAGAACCAAUUCA
rnacentral:lncRNA from 1 species